rfam:Bacteroidales bacterium WCE2008 genome assembly, contig: Ga0070252_11
AAUAUAGUGGAGGGAUUUGCACGCUUGCAACCACUAUAAAAAAUGCUAAAAGUCAUGAA